rnacentral:rRNA from 1 species
UACAGAGGGUGCAAGCGUUGCUCGGAAUUACUGGGCGUAAAGCGCACGUAGGCGGCUUUCUAAGUCGGGGGUGAAAUCCUGGAGCUCAACUCCAGAACUGCCUUCGAUACUGGAGAGCUUGAGUCCGGGAGAGGUGAGUGGAACUCCGAGUGUAGAGGUGAAAUUCGUAGAUAUUCGGAAGAACACCAGUGGCGAAGGCGGCUCACUGGCCCGGUACUGACGCUGAUGUGCGAAAGCGUGGGGAGCAAACAGG